CAGAAAUCACACAAUGCUUAUGAAGAGGUUCUUCUUCAAAAGUAUAAAUAUUCCAUAUGCUCUUUUGACAUUGGCAAAAAAUCCACUAUAAAAAUUUUUAUGCAAAAAUUAUUUAAAAUUAAAUUGUAAAGAGUCACAUAUUUACUUCUGAUGACAGAAAAAACAAAACCAACUACUGAAGAAGAGGAAAGGAAGAAAAACAUGCUAGGCAGCCAAAACUGUUAUUAUGAGAGAGACCAGAAAGCACAUGAGAAUCAUCAAAAAACUCACCAAAGUGGCUAGAAUAGUAGGAUUGUAUAUAAUAGACCUGUAACAUUACUAAGAAAUGGUUGGGGAAGGGUGGGAUGCAGUUAUAGGGUCUGCUCUGCUAAGGAGGAUAAAUCAAAAUAAAAUCAACUAGACCAGGCGAUACCGAAAUUUUCUGUUUGGGUCUGAGUUCAUUCUCUAGAGAAAUCAAAGAAUGAGUUCAUGGACAAAGAUGAGCGAAAGCAAAGUUUUAUUACGGAAAAGCUCCCUGUUGCAGGGAGGGGACCCAAGAAGGUUGUUGGGGCAGUUUCUUUGUCUAGGGGGUUAAUAAGUGCCCUACUAACUUCCUAUUUGGUUGGUUGGAAAAGUUUGGCCCUAGCAACAUACAUACAUUUUAAACUUCAGAAUUCCCACUCAUUUUCCCUGCCCUGUGUGUUCAGGGCCCUUUGUUCUUGUGAUUUAAUCAGCAGAGCCUCCAAGGGCCUAAAGUUUUCCUAGAAAUUUAAGAAGUGCUAUACCCUCAUUCUUUCAAAUGCUCCUAUCUUUAUCU